GAUGCCAUUUAAAGCAUGUCUCCCAAAAGCGGGAACCGGUUUUGGGAUAAAGACAUGCGUGAAAACAAACAGAUAGAGCCUUUCCAAU
rnacentral:misc_RNA from 1 species